rnacentral:misc_RNA from 1 species
GUGAAUCAUCAAAUUUUUGAACGCAAAUUGCGCUUCCUGGCAUCCCGGGAAGUAUGCCUGUUUGAGGGUCAGUAUUAACAAAAAAAUCGGGUUGGGUGCAAAUUGUGACGUUUCCGGAGUUUGGGCUAUCUUAACUUUUUUGGUUAAGGGGCUUAAAAUGGACCUUUUUUGCGCAUGUUUAGACGUACAUAAAUUUUUUUUUUGGUUGGUUGUUUUUAAUGCCAAAAAUUUAUUAGUU